rnacentral:rRNA from 1 species
CGCGGGAAUUCGAUUAGAGUUUGAUCAUGGCUCAGAACGAACGCUGGCGGCGUGGAUAAGACAUGCAAGUCGAACGCUGACUAUCAGGUAGCAAUAUUUGGAUGUCGGAGUGGCGCAAGGGUGCGUAACACGUGGGCAAUCUACCGUGAAGACCGAAAUAACCUGCUGAAAGGCGAGCUAAUACCGGAUGUGAUAGUCGGGAGGCAUCUCCUGAUUCUCAAAGUUGGGGACCGUAAGGCCUGACGCUUCAUGAUGAGCCCGCGGCCUAUCAGCUAGUUGGUGAGGUAACGGCUCACCAAGGCUAAGACGGGUAGCUGGUCUGAGAGGACGACCAGCCUCACUGGAACUGAGACACGGUCCAGACACCUACGGGAGGCAGCAGUGGGGAAUAUUGGACAAUGGGGGCAACCCUGAUCCAGCGACGCCGCGUGUGUGAAGAAGGCCUGCGGGUUGUAAAGCACUUUUAGUGGGGAUGAAAAGCACAUUGCUAAUACCAGUGUGUCUUGACCUAACCCAAAGAAAAAGCACCGGCUAACUCUGUGCCAGCAGCCGCGGUAAUACGAAUCACUAGUGAAUUCGCGGCCGCCUGCAGGUCGACCAUAUGGGAGAGCUCCC